AGCUCUUAUGCUCCUUAUUCUAGAGGUAAUCCUUAUGUUGCUCCUACAUGCCAUAUUUGUGGAUCUCAGGGCCAUUCACCCGCUGAAUGUCAGCGUGGUUACUCUCACCCUCCCGAUUGUUAUGGCAUGAGCUUCGCCCCACAGCCUAGCUCAUACCAAAACAAUUACACACAUGGGUGGCCUGAAAACCAGAAUAUGUCAUAUAGGAGCAAUAACCCUGAGAUCUCAUCGUUUGCCUCUAGUUAUCCAAUGCAGGGAUUUAGGUAUGAAGAGGAGAGCCACAACUAUGCUCCACAACAGAUUUAUUCAGCUCCUACUCAUAUACCUCAACACCAGGACAUGUUGCCAAUGGAGUUAAAUGGUCCUCCAUUUGGUCAACCAACAUCUUCAACACAAGUGCCCACACAAGAUGACUUUGAUGAUAUAGACAAGCUCACAUUGCUUGGUCUCGAGUUCACUUCGAGUGCCGAAGAUGAUCCAAUUAGGCCGGUGAUACUAGAGGAAAUGAAGAAGAUUAAGAGUGGAAAGGAGCUAGUGGAAGAAGUAAGGAAGAUUGAGAAGAACAUCAACGCUGUCAGUACUAUCUCUUCCCUCCUUGAGCUGAGUGUUGCCGGGAUAUCCCUUGAGGUGUGUGAGGUUCCAACACCUUCACAUUUAGCUGAGCAAGAUAGCGAGAGUCCAUAGGAAGAGAUACUUCAGAUCCAAGAAGAAAUUCUCGAAGCCAAAGCACAAGAUGAUCCAGAGCUCGAAUAACAAAGUGAUCAAGUUGAAGACUCAUCAUCUAUUACUCUUGAAGAAGCAAAAGAAGUUGAUGUGAUUGAAGAUGAAGAACCAGAAACGCAUUUUCCCAUCGUCAUACAGGAGCGUGAUUUAGCAGGUUUAUCCAAUCCUCUUGAUGACAUGCUUCCUUAUGAGAUCUUUGCCGCUACUUUCCAUUGUGUUAUACCAUCAAUUAAGCUAGACUUGAAAAAUUAUUUGCUUGGACAUGAUCAUACAUACAUUGUUGGUGGCAUUGCUCUCAUUCCUGAUGAUGACACUUAUUUUCCUUAUGCUAGUCCUAUGCUUAAUGAAACAUAUUAUUCCCACGCUAGUCUUGAGCUUAAUGAUAAAUUUCAUCCUCAUGUUAGUGUCGACCUUGCUGAUUUCUACCAUCCUAAACAUGUGCUUUAUAGCUAUGCUUAUGUAAUUGGAUAUUCGAUUGAUGACUUGGAGGGUAUUAUCCCUACCACUUGCAUUGUCUCUUUUGUUGAGAGUGCUUUCAGGUUUUUGCUUGUGCACGAUCCAUUACAUGUUGACCAGGUUCGAGGUGACAUUCCUUGGGACCCUGGUGGACUCAGAGCAUGGGGAUGAGGAGAAGCAAGGGGGCACACACGAGGAAUGGAGAAGCUGGAGCAGGCAUGAGGAUAGGGAAGCAAAAGGAGAGGAGUCACAAUGCACGAGGAAGCAAAGGAGAAGAGUUGUAGUUUAGAGAGUGUCGAGCGAGUGCUACUUCCUAUAAAAACCCGAAAAGGGUGAAAAGGCCCAAAAUCCUUCUCUAAUGGAGAGAGUGUCAAGAAACUGUGGUUGCUCUAAUUCACGGAGGGACCCGGCCGUGAAGAAAAGAAGUAACCAUAGGGGCCAAGCUAAAGUUGGAGGGAUCAUCUUGUGAAGAAAGAAGAGAAGUGGAAGGGCAAAAGAGCAAAAGUGGCAGAUCAGAGGAGGAGGAUCAAAUCCCUAGCGGCAACCAUCGAUCCCCUUCGGGCCUGGCCACAUCUCCUUCUCUUUCCCCUGCCUCCUUCUCCAGCACAGGCCGCCGCCACGGCCAGGCCGGCGUGGGGCGCGCCACCAGCUCCACUUCGCCGCCGCACCUCCGCACUCCAUCCAUCCAUUCGCUGCACC